GAUAAUGACGGUACCCGCAGAAGAAGCCCCGGCUAACUUCGUGCCAGCAGCCGCGGUAAUACGAAGGGGGCUAGCGUUGCUCGGAAUGACUGGGCGUAAAGGGCGUGUAGGCGGUUUGUACAGUCAGAUGUGAAAUCCCCGGGCUUAACCUGGGAGCUGCAUUUGAGACGUGCAGACUAGAGUGUGAGAGAGGGUUGUGGAAUUCCCAGUGUAGAGGUGAAAUUCGUAGAUAUUGGGAAGAACACCGGUGGCGAAGGCGGCAACCUGGCUCAUUACUGACGCUGAGGCGCGAAAGCGUGGGGAGCAAACAGGAUUAGAUACCC
rnacentral:rRNA from 1 species